rnacentral:rRNA from 1 species
GGCCAAGUUUUUAAGGGCGCACGGUGGAUGCCUUGGCACCAGGAACCGAUGAAGGACGUGGGAGGCCACGAUAGUCCCCGGGGAGUCGUCAACCAGGCUUUGAUCCGGGGGUUUCCGAAUGGGGAAACCCGGCAGUCGUCAUGGGCUGUCACCCUUGUCUGAACACAUAGGGCAAGUGGAGGGAACGCGGGGAAGUGAAACAUCUCAGUACCCGCAGGAAGAGAAAACAACCGUGAUUCCGGGAGUAGUGGCGAGCGAAACCGGAUGAGGCUAAACCGUAUACGUGUGAGACCCGGCAGGGGUUGCGUGUACGGGGUUGUGGGAGUGUGCUUGAUCGGUCUGCCGGCCGGUCGGAGAGUCAGAAACCGUUGAUGUAGGCGAAGGACAUGCGAAAGGUCCGGCGUAGAGGGUAAGACCCCCGUAGUCGAAACAUCAGCGGCUCUCUUGCGUAUUUCCCAAGUAGCACGGGGCCCGAGAAAUCCCGUGUGAAUCUGGCGGGACCACCCGCUAAGCCUAAAUAUUCCCUGGUGACCGAUAGCGGAUAGUACCGUGAGGGAAUGGUGAAAAGUACCGCGGGAGCGGAGUGAAAUAGUACCUGAAACCGUGUGCCUACAAGCCGUGGGAGCGUCGGANNNNNNNNNNNNNNNNNNNNNNNNNNNNNNNNNNNNNNNNNNNNNNNNNNNNNNNNNNNNNNNNNNNNNNNNNNNNNNNNNNNNNNNNNNNNNNNNNNNNUCUCGUGACUGCGUGCCUUUUGAAGAAUGAGCCUGCGAGUUUGCGGUGUGUUGCGAGGUUAACCCGGGUGGGGUAGCCGUAGCGAAAGCGAGUCCGAACAGGGCGUUUCAGUAGCACGCUCAAGACCCGAAGCGGAGUGAUCUAGCCAUGGGCAGGUUGAAGCGGAGGUAAGACUUCGUGGAGGACCGAACCCACCAGGGUUGAAAACCUGGGGGAUGACCUGUGGUUAGGGGUGAAAGGCCAAUCAAACUCCGUGAUAGCUGGUUCUCCCCGAAAUGCAUUUAGGUGCAGCGUCGUGUGUUUCUUGCCGGAGGUAGAGCACUGGAUAGGCGAUGGGCCCUACCGGGUUACUGACCUUAGCCAAACUCCGAAUGCCGGUAAGUGAGAGCGCGGCAGUGAGACUGUGGGGGAUAAGCUCCAUGGUCGAGAGGGAAACAGCCCAGAGCAUCGACUAAGGCCCCUAAGCGUACGCUAAGUGGGAAAGGAUGUGGAGUCGCAGAGACAACCAGGAGGUUGGCUUAGAAGCAGCCACCCUUGAAAGAGUGCGUAAUAGCUCACUGGUCUAGUGAUUCCGCGCCGACAAUGUAGCGGGGCUCAAGCGUACCGCCGAAGUCGUGUCAUUGCAGCUAUAGGGCCAACGCCUGCUGUGAUGGGUAGGGGAGCGUCGUGUGCCGGGUGAAGCAGCGCCGGAAGGCAGUUGUGGACGGUUCACGAGUGAGAAUGCAGGCAUGAGUAGCGAUUCACACGUGAGAAACGUGUGCGCCGAUUGACUAAGGGUUCCUGGGUCAAGCUGAUCUGCCCAGGGUAAGUCGGGACCUAAGGCGAGGCCGACAGGCGUAGUCGAUGGAUAACCGGUUGAUAUUCCGGUACCCGCUGUGAAGCGUCAAACAUUGAACCAGGCGAUGCUAAGUCCGUGAAGCCGCCCUGGAGCCUUCGGGCAAAGGGGAGUGGUGGAGCCGACGGACCAGACCUGUAGUAGGUGAGUGAUGGGGUGACGCAGGAAGGUAGUCCAGCCCGGGCGGUGGUUGUCCCGGGGUAAGGGUGUAGCCCGAGUGGUAGGUAAAUCCGCCGCUCAUGUGGGUGAGACCUGAUGCCGAGCCGAUUGUGGUGAAGUGGAUGAUCCUAUGCUGUCGAGAAAAGCCUCUAGCGAGUUUCAUGGCGGCCCGUACCCUAAACCGACUCAGGUGGUCAGGUAGAGAAUACCGAGGCGUUCGGGUGAACUAUGGUUAAGGAACUCGGCAAAAUGCCCCCGUAACUUCGGGAGAAGGGGGGCCACGUCUGGUGAGGGGACUUGCUUCCUGAGCUGGGUGUGGCCGCAGAGACCAGCGAGAAGCGACUGUUUACUAAAAACACAGGUCCGUGCGAAGCCGUAAGGCGAUGUAUACGGACUGACGCCUGCCCGGUGCUGGAACGUUAAGGGGACCGGUUAGCUCCAUUUCGGUGGGGCGAAGCUGAGAACUUAAGCGCCAGUAAACGGCGGUGGUAACUAUAACCAUCCUAAGGUAGCGAAAUUCCUUGUCGGGUAAGUUCCGACCUGCACGAAUGGCGUAACGACUUCUCGACUGUCUCAACCAUAGGCCCGGUGAAAUUGCACUACGAGUAAAGAUGCUCGUUUCGCGCAGCAGGACGGAAAGACCCCGGGACCUUUACUACAGUUUGAUAUUGGUGUUCGGUUCGGCUUGUGUAGGAUAGCUGGGAGACUGUGAAGCUUGGACGCCAGUUCAGGUGGAGUCGUCGUUGAAAUACCAGUCUGGUCGUGCUGGAUGUCUAACCUGGGUCCGUGAUCCGGAUCAGGGACAGUGUCUGAUGGGUAGUUUAACUGGGGCGGUUGCCUCCUAAAGAGUAACGGAGGCGCCCAAAGGUUCCCUCAGCCUGGUUGGCAAUCAGGUGUUGAGUGUAAGUGCACAAGGGAGCUUGACUGUGAGACCGACGGGUCGAGCAGGGACGAAAGUCGGGACUAGUGAUCCGGCGGUGGCUUGUGGAAGCGCCGUCGCUCAACGGAUAAAAGGUACCCCGGGGAUAACAGGCUGAUCUUCCCCAAGAGUCCAUAUCGACGGGAUGGUUUGGCACCUCGAUGUCGGCUCGUCGCAUCCUGGGGCUGGAGUCGGUCCCAAGGGUUGGGCUGUUCGCCCAUUAAAGCGGUACGCGAGCUGGGUUUAGAACGUCGUGAGACAGUUCGGUCCCUAUCCGCUGCGCGCGCAGGAAUAUUGAGAAGGGCUGUCCCUAGUACGAGAGGACCGGGACGGACGAACCUCUGGUGUGCCAGUUGUUCUGCCAAGGGCAUGGCUGGUUGGCUACGUUCGGGAGGGAUAACCGCUGAAAGCAUCUAAGCGGGAAGCCUGCUUCGAGAUGAGUAUUCCCACCCACUUGAUGGGGUAAGGCUCCCAGUAGACGACUGGGUUGAUAGGCCGGAUCUGGAAGCACCGCAAGGUGUGGAGGUGACCGGUACUAAUAGGCCGAGGGCUUGUCCUC